GAGCUAGAGAAGAUGAAGGAGGUAGCAGUACAGGAGGAGCUACUGGUAGAGAUGAAGAUGUAUUGGUUGUUCAACAAAAGAAUGAUAAAUUACGUAAAGAAAAUGAAGAACUCAAACAAAAACUAGCACAAUAUGAAUCUGUCAGUAAGUUUAAAGGGGAGACUGAAGCUGAUAAAAAGGAAAAUGAAGCUAAAGAAGCUGGGAAGCAACACUCAAGACCUCACAGAACUCCAAGAUCAAAACUAUGUAUUAUACUUUAAAUUCAUUGAUGCUGUACCCAACUAAUUAUUAAUACCAGCAAAUGCAUAGUUCACAAAUUGUAUGGAUUUUUUGUUUGUGUAAAAAGUCAUGUUAACACUCAAUGUUAA